GCCUGAUCCAGCAAUGCCGCGUGUGUGAAGAAGGCCUGCGGGUUGUAAAGCACUUUCAGUAGAGAAGAAAAGCCUACGGUUAAUAGCCGUGAGUCUUGACGUAACCUACAGAAGAAGCACCGGCUAACUCCGUGCCAGCAGCCGCGGUAAUAAUCGAAUUCCCGCGGCCGCCA
rnacentral:rRNA from 1 species